rfam:Oryza glaberrima chromosome 11 Oglab11_0286_5, whole genome shotgun sequence.
AAUAAGUGUAGUUUUGCUCUAUUCACGUUCAAUGUUUGACCGUUCGUCUUAUUUAAGAAAUUUUUAUGAUUAGUAUUUUUAUUACUAUUUGAUGAUAAAAUAUGAAUAUUAUUUUAUAUGUGACUAUUUUUUUUAAUUCUUUCAUAAAUUUUUCAAAUAAGACGGACGGUCAAAUGUUGGACACGGAUAUCACGGUUGUACUUAUU